CCCAGCAAGCACAAAACACCAUUAUAACAAACUUAUGAUAGCACGAGUUCAUGUACAAAGCAUUAUAACCAAAUCGUAUAUCGGCUGUAUUUCUUUUAUACGACUCUUAUAAGUAAAAUUUGGGCCCCCCCUUUAGACAGCGUUGAGCUAUACAAAGGCAAUUUAAUAGCAUUAUAAUCAUCGUAUUAAAUCAUUAAUUAAGUCAGUUAUGAGCACAUGAAUAAACAAAUGGCAUUUUUUGCGACUUCAUUACAGUUAAUAUAUAGCUUUUAAAAUUACAAUCUGUUAUUAAAAUUUCAUAACAAUGCUAACUGUUGUAAUUCCUUUGUAAAAAAGAAAAUCUUAUGAUUUUAAAAAUAUAUUGAUCUGUUUUUGAUCGUGCAACGUUAUGUGGACUUGAAAUAUUUAAAUGUGAAAAUUAAUAUUGAAUGAUGGAACCAACAUGCCCUGCAAAGUAAAGCGUUUCCCAACAUAAUAUGAAGAUGCCGAUGAAGAAGUUUUUUUUGUUUACUACAAUUAUUAUUAAUAAAAUCAGUAUAGUUACUCCUUUUUAAGUUUUCAUUUGAA